CGCGAAACCUUUACACUGCACGAGAGUGCGAUAAGGGGACUCCCAGUGCGAGGGCAUACAGUCCUCGCUUUUCUGGACCGUAGGGAGGUCCAGGAACAAGUGCUGGGCAAGACCGGUGCCAGCCGCCGCGGUAAUACCGGCAGCACGAGUGAUGGCCGAUAUUAUUGGGCCUAAAGCGUCCGUAGCCGGCCAGACAAGUCCGUUGGGAAAUCCACGUGCUCAACACGUGGGCGUCCAGCGGAAACUGUCUGGCUUGGGGCCGGAGGACCCAAGGGGUACGUCCGGGGUAGGAGUGAAAUCCCGUAAUCCUGGACGGACCGCCGAUGGCGAAAGCACCUUGGGAGGACGGACCCGACGGUGAGGGACGAAAGCCAGGGUCUCGAACCGGAUUAGAUACCCGGGUAGUCCUGGCCGUAAACGAUGUCCGCUAGGUGUGGCGCAGGCUACGAGCCUGCGCUGUGCCGUAGGGAAGCCGUGAAGCGGACCGCCUGGGAAGUACGUCUGCAAAGAUGAAACUUAAAGGAAUUGGCGGGGGAGCACUACAACCGGAGGAGCCUGCGGUUUAAUUGGAAUC
rnacentral:rRNA from 1 species